rnacentral:lncRNA from 1 species
UUAAUUGAUUACACGGUGCAUUAGUUAUAAUUUUUGUCACUAAUUUUUGAAUGAAUAGUGAUAUUUGAACAACCAUUUUAGAUAAUUUUUGGUACAAUUUCUUUUUUCUCACCUUUCAUUGGUCAACAAUGGAUUGGGGGUUCAAAACUGUCAAAGAAUCAAAAUAUAGGGGGCUGUUUUGUAUUUAAAUUAGUUAGGGAUCCAUAACUGCAAUUUUUGGAAAAAUAGGGGUUUAAAGUGCAAUUAAGUCUAAAUACGAAUAUGCAUAAUAAAAGAAAAGAAGAUCAACAUAUGAAACUUUCGAAGCACA